rnacentral:rRNA from 1 species
UACGUAGGGUCCGAGCGUUGUCCGGAAUUAUUGGGCGUAAAGAGCUCGUAGGCGGUUUGUCGCGUCUGCUGUGAAAUCCCGAGGCUCAACCUCGAAACUGCCUUCGAUACUGCGGGUCUCGAGUCCGGGAGAGGUGAGUGGAAUUCCUAGUGUAGAGGUGAAAUUCGUAGAUAUUAGGAAGAACACCAGUGGCGAAGGCGGCUCACUGGCCCGGUACUGACGCUGAGGCGCGAAAGCGUGGGGAGCAAACAGG